CUCUAAUGAACAUGACGUUUCCUGUUUUGUAUAUUGACAGUGCACAUGACCACGAUCGGAGAACACUCGUCGAUCACUUCAACGGAAAAUUCUAACUUCAGUCUAGCUACCCUAUGUUCUCGCCUCAGUUUCUAUUUGAACCCCACAUUUCGUUUAUCCUUUUUAGCUGCUGGUGGUUGACAAUUGGUGGUGUGAAGUAGAGAAACAGCAGUGGCUAUUGUGUGUGUGCGUGGUGGAGUCAGGAAGAGGACGGGUGGAGGUUGUUUUGGUUGGUGAAGGUUCAGAGUCGCUGGUUAUUGUGUUUUCGAAGUGAGGGCUAGUCGUUUAUGUGUGGGUGACGGUGGCUUUCUAGCUUAUGGGUGUGUGUAUGAAGUUGGAGAUGAGGUCUUGGAAUCUUUUGUGUAAAAGAAGUUGAAGUUGGUAUGUUUUGUUAGGUUAG
rnacentral:lncRNA from 1 species